rnacentral:rRNA from 1 species
GACGUAGGUGGCGAGCGUUGUCCGGAAUUACUGGGCGCAAAGGGCGUGUAGGCGGCCUGCUAAGUCAGACGUGAAAUCCCCGGGCUUAACCCUGGGACUGCGUUUGAUACUGGUGGGCUUGAGGACGGGAGAGGGAAGUGGAACUCCGUGUGUAGCGGUGAAAUGCGUAGAUAUACGGAAGAACACCAGUGGCGAAGGCGGCUUUCUGGACCGUCCCUGACGCUGAGGCGCGAAAGCCAGGGGAG